AUGUGUAUAAAAACAGAUGAUUGAACCUGGUGUACCCCCCAAAAAAAAAAUUUAAAAAAACAAACAAAAAAAACACAAACAAACCAAAAAAAAACCAAACAAAAAAGAAACCAUGGUAGUUUAUGCUACAGAUAUAGUGAAGGAAGCGUAGAAAAUGGGUCUGAUCCUGGAGGCAUUGAAAGGUGGAGUCGAUAAUGUUGGCUAAUGGAGUGGAGUAUUUAAAAAGAAAUGAGGAAUGAAGGAAAGUUUCAUUUACCUUUGGCCUGGGCAACUAUAAGGAAGGAAUUGCCAUUACUGGGAUGAGGGCUACAAGAAGGGUGCUUUUACCUGGUUUUGGUCGUGUAAAAUGUGAGCUGUAAGUCAGCCAACCGGAUAUGAUUCAAGAAAUUACUUAUGAGUCUCACUUCCCGCGAGGCGUGAGACUAGACCAAUGAAGCAUUGGACACCCAGACCAUUAAAGUAAAUGCCCCUGGGGCAGGGGGAGUAAGUGGAGUGCUGUAGCCAAAAGGAGAAAGAUAAUAUAGGUUUCCUGUUUCUUUAACCUGUUAGUCCUGCAUGUGUGGUGUUUCUCAUGGCGAAUUCCACAAGACUGAGCCUCCUCUAAUGCAGGAAACCAAAGAUGGUGACAAUCGCUAACAUUUGCUGAGUCCAUAUGACAUGCCUCAGGCUGUGCCAGCUGAUAUACCUCACAAAACCCCAACAAUGUGGGAGUUUUAUUAUCCUCCUUUUACAGUCGAGGAACCUGGCACUCAAAUAGGUAAGAAAAUUCUCCAAGAUUACCAGACUACUGUGUGGCAGACCCCAGGGUCAAAUCUAAAUCCACCUCACCUGAGAGCCCAGGCUGGAAACUUCCUCACUUUCCUGUUGUGGAUGUAUGGAGAGAAAAGGGUCAUCCUGACCGAAUUCUAGGCAUCUGACUAUGUCUGACAUCCCACAGUUACUUGGCAAACAAAAGCAUCAAGGACUGGGUUGGUCUCAGAAGCCCGUAAUUAUAUCAUACUGUCAUGGCCCCUUUCUCAAACCAGAAGAUAGGAAUUUUCCUGUCUGCUUUUUGCCACUGAAGUUGGAGGGCAACAAUGUAGAGGGCCUUUUGAUUUGAAAUAGUAAGAAAUUUUGAAUAUUCCAACUGGAGAUCAGAAUAAGUAUUUUCUUAGUAUUUGGCCGUUGCUUUCUCAGACCUUUGUGAGUUCCAUGCCCACAUGGACAAAUGCUUACUUGACCACUCCACUCAGGGGUUCCACUCAAACUCAGCAUGCCCAAAAACCACUCAGGAGUUUCUACCCCCAACCCCACACCCUUCUUCAAACAAGUUCCUUUGUCCAUGUUUCCACCUCAGCGAAUGACAUCAUUUUCUAUCUAGUUCAGCAAACCAGGAUUUAUAAGUGAUGCUUAAUAUCUCUCUCUAUCUCUCCUGCACUGUCUCACCUAUGAGCAGACCUUGUUGGAUUUACCUCCAAAACAUGUCUCCAAUCCAUCCUUUUAUCCCAGCUCCAUUGUCAUGUGCAAAUUUCAAACUCCUUUCACCUCUCCUCUGAACUAGAGCUAUUGCCUUCUUACUGCCUCCACACGUUGAUUCUGGGCUUUGUCCCAUCUGCUCACCAAACUGCAACCAUAUUAAAACACAAACUGAUCCUGUCUUCCACUUUCUGUUUGCUCUUAGGAUUGACAACUACGGACUCCGCAAAAGACCUUCAGAAAAGCUGUUGGUCAAGCAAAGCUAAUUAAAAGUUUAUUAGCCCUACUGAGGAAUGCGAAACACUGCCUUGAAAGAGUCUCAGUGGGAUCUCAGAAGGGGGAGUUGAAGAAGCCUAUUUACAGGCUUGAGGUGUGUGCUCACAUGGCUUAAGGCUCUUCUGUGAGCAGGUCGUGUUCUGCUGGAGGUCAAGGGAUGAGAAGCUAGUUACACGCCAUAAACAGAAACCUCAAUGAAAAGUCAGGAGGCCAGAAGGGGAAGCUCUCACAUCCUACGACCGUAGCAGAGCCCAAAACGAAGAAGAACGACUUUAUGCCUGGAAAAGGCUCAACCAAUGAGAGACUCACAACUCAGCCAAUGAAAAGCCACUAUUCUUCAAAAUCUUAAUUCUUCCAGUCAACUCUUUGUUUACUAUAGACUUUUUAAGUUCCCUUUCUGCCUCUUUAUUUAUUUUUUAAUUUUUAAAAAAGUUUUAUACAAUUUUUAAAGGUUACUUUCCAUUUACAGUUACUACAAAAUGUUAGCUUUAUUCCCUAUGUUGUAUAAUACAUCAUUGAGCCUAUCUUACACUCAAUAGAUUGUA